CCAAUAGCGUAUAUUAAAGUUGUUGCAGUUAAAAAGCUCGUAGUUGAACUUCGGGACCUGUGGGUUGGUCGUGCCUCCGGUACGUACUGGCUCUACCGGUUCCUCCCUUCUGAAGAACCACGAUGUCAUUAAUUUGGUGUCGUGGGGAAUCAGGACUGUUACUUUGAAAAAAUUAGAGUGUUUAAAGCAGGCUAAAGCUUGAAUAGAUUAGCAUGGAAUAACGAAAUAGGACGUUUGAUCUUAUUUUGUUGGUUUCUAAGAUCGACGUAAUGAUUAAUAGGGAUAGUUGGGGGCAUUAGU
rnacentral:rRNA from 1 species